CAGCCGCCGCGGUAAUACGAAGGGGGCUAGCGUUGUUCGGAAUUACUGGGCGUAAAGCGCACGUAGGCGGAUAUUUAAGUCAGGGGUGAAAUCCCAGAGCUCAACUCUGGAACUGCCUUUGAUACUGGGUAUCUUGAGUAUGGAAGAGGUGAGUGGAAUUCCGAGUGUAGAGGUGAAAUUCGUAGAUAUUCGGAGGAACACCAGUGGCGAAGGCGGCUCACUGGUCCAUUACUGACGCUGAGGUGCGAAAGCGUGGGGAGCAAACAGGAUUAGAUACCCCUGUAGUCCCUGUCUCUUAUAC
rnacentral:rRNA from 1 species